rnacentral:rRNA from 1 species
UGGGGAAUUUUGGACAAUGGGCGAAAGCCUGAUCCAGCAAUGCCGCGUGUGUGAAGAAGGCCUUCGGGUUGUAAAGCACUUUUGUCCGGAAAGAAAUCCUUGGCUCUAAUACAGUCGGGGGAUGACGGUACCGGAAGAAUAAGCACCGGCUAACUACGUGCCAGCAGCCGCGGUAAUACGUAGGGUGCAAGCGUUAACCGGAAUUACUGGGCGUAAAGCGUGCGCAGGCGGUUUGCUAAGACCGAUGUGAAAUCCCCGGGCUCAACCUGGGAACUGCAUUGGUGACUGGCAGGCUAGAGUAUGGCAGAGGGGGGUAGAAUUCCACGUGUAGCAGUGAAAUGCGUAGAGAUGUGGAGGAAUACCGAUGGCGAAGGCAGCCCCCUGGGCCAAUACUGACGCUCA